rnacentral:rRNA from 1 species
GACGAACGCUGGCGGCGUGCUUAACACAUGCAAGUCGAACGGAAAGGCCCUGCUUUUGUGGGGUGCUCGAGUGGCGAACGGGUGAGUAACACGUGAGUAACCUGCCCUUGACUUUGGGAUAACUUCAGGAAACUGGGGCUAAUACCGGAUAGGAGCUCCUGCUGCAUGGUGGGGGUUGGAAAGUUUCGGCGGUUGGGGAUGGACUCGCGGCUUAUCAGCUUGUUGGUGGGUAGUGGCUUACCAAGGCUUUGACGGGUAGCCGGCCUGAGAGGGUGACCGGCCACGUUGGGACUGAGAUACGGCCCAGACUCCUACGGGAGGCAGCAGUGGGGAAUAUUGCACAAUGGGCGGAAGCCUGAUGCAGCAACGCCGCGUGCGGGAUGACGGCCUUCGGGUUGUAAACCGCUUUCGCCUGUGACGAAGCGUGAGUGACGGUAAUGGGUAAAGAAGCACCGGCUAACUACGUG